rnacentral:rRNA from 1 species
AACGAACGCUGGCGGCAGGCUUAACACAUGCAAGCCGAGCGCCCCGCAAGGGGAGCGGCAGACGGGUGAGUAACGCGUGGGAAUCUACCCAUCUCUACGGAAUAACGCAUGGAAACGUGUGCUAAUACCGUAUACGUCCUUCGGGAGAAAGAUUUAUCGGAGAUGGAUGAGCCCGCGUUGGAUUAGCUAGUUGGUGGGGUAAAGGCCUACCAAGGCGACGAUCCAUAGCUGGUCUGAGAGGAUGAUCAGCCACUCUGGGACUGAGACACGGCCCAGACUCCUACGGGAGGCAGCAGUGGGGAAUAUUGGACAAUGGGCGCAAGCCUGAUCCAGCCAUACCGCGUGAGUGAUGAAGGCCCUAGGGUUGUAAAGCUCUUUCACCGGUGAAGAUAAUGACGGUAACCGGAGAAGAAGCCCCGGCUAACUUCGUGCCAGCCGCCGCCGUAACAC